UUGAAAGAAAGAAAGAAUUGGGUUGCUUCAGUCUCCCUCGCUCUUCCGCCAUGGAUAUGGGGUAUACAGAACCAUAACUCACGCUUUCAAUCUCUGAGCUUGCGUUCUUCAGUCAGUAAGAUUCUAUUAUCUGUUUAUCCCUCCAGAUUGUCGAUAAUAGAAACUAAGGACAUAUAUGGUAGAGAAACUUAGGACAAACCUGGAUAUGAACAAGCCAUUGCAGGUACCUGUCGAUUUUGAAUCUAAAUUUAUGGACAAUGUUCCAGACGAUUUAUUGGGUGAAAUAUUAAUUCGACUUCCAGAUUGUCGAGAAGCAAUCCGCUGCGGAUCCAUCUGUAAACGCUGGCUUUCUUUAGUCUCUAGUCAUAGCUUUGUUCAUCGAUUCAUCACAAACCACAAUCAGCAACAAGUUUCUCCCACGACUCUGGUGAUACAAAACCAUAUAUUCAAAAGUAGAUCAGGUGGAGGCAGUGUCGAUUCCCUAUUAUAUGAAGUGUUUCCUGAGCACAAAUCUUAUUGGAAUUGGAAUUUCCCUUGUUUCAAAGCCAAGUUUCUUAAUUUUUUACCAAUUGAAGAAAAAGAUGUCAACAUAAGAGCUUCCUAUGAUAAUCUACUACUUGUGUCUAAACAACCUUGUCAGUGGCUUUACAUCUGCAAUCCAAUCACAAGGCAGUGGCGGCGCCUUCCCAACGCCCCUCACGGCCUGCUCCUUAACCGUUUAAGGUGUGGAUUGGUGUGCCUGCCCUAUAAUUGCAGCAAUUACAGGUACAAAGUUGCUGUAUUUGGAUAUGGUGAGCAUAAUAAUCAGCUUCCAGUGUCCAGCGUUUUUUGUUCAGAGACAGGGGAGUGGAGCAAACUAGUAGUGACUCGGCCUCUGCCUCCACUCAAGAGAUGGGCUCACUUCAGUGGACAGCUUUGGUAUCGCAACCAUGUUGUUGCUUGGGAAGGAAGGAUGCACUGGCUAGACAGUGAGACUUUGGAGCGUUGCCAAGGCAUGGUUGUUUUCAACCCUUUUAUAGGUGAAAACGAUGACCAACAUAGAUUGCAGUUUGUUGCUCUACCAGUUGAAACUAAUUUGACAUUGCCCUUUACAUCCAUGCUUUAUUUUCGCCUUGGAUUGAGCCAGGGGAGGCUCCUGUUGUCUCAGAUUCAUAAAGUGAAGGAGUAUUGUUUUGUUUUGAGAGUUUGGGAAUUGAAGGACUAUGCUGGUGCUUCAUGGUCUUUGGUGCACAGUGUGGAGUUAGAGAUUAAGGCGAAGCUGGUAUUUGUUUUGGCUUUACAUCCAGACAAUAUCAGUGUUGUUUUCUUGUGGUGUGAUGAAGAAGUAAGUCGAUAACAUUUGUUGGAAAACGAGGAUGAUAGAAUUGCCAAAAUUCUACCAGAUAUCAGAAGGAGUGAUUCUGUGUACUUGUAUGCCCAUGCUCUUCCCCAUUGUUCUUGGCCGUUUACAUUCUAGUGUAAGGGCAGAGAAAGUAGAGGAAGAAGCCACUGGAAUGGGAGUAGUAGAUGGAGGAGGGACCAAAGAUGAGUCUGCAGAUGUCUUGGUCGCCAUUGAAGAGAGCAAGAACCAAGAAAGUGGUAAAGGAUCGAUUUUGGCCUGAUACCCUGUAAACAGUAGAAGAGAAAGUGUUCUGAAAGAAACUCAGAUAAACCAUGUGUUGAGCAUGAGAUGUAUUAUUUAUAGAGUUGAGUAGUGCAGCCUAAAA